rnacentral:rRNA from 1 species
GAAUCUUGCGCAAUGGGGGAAACCCUGACGCAGCGACGCCGCGUGAGUGAUGAAGGCCUUCGGGUUGUAAAGCUCUGUUCUGUGGGAACAAAAAAAUGAGUGUACCACAGGAGAAAGGACCGGCUAACUUCGUGCCAGCAGCCGCGGUAAUACGAGGGGUCCAAGCGUUGUUCGGAAUCAUUGGGCGUAAAGCGGGUGUAGGUGGACUGGUAAGUCAGAAGUGAAAGCCCCGGGCUCAACCCGGGAAGUGCUUUUGAUACUGUCAGUCUUGAGUGUGGGAGAGGAUAGUGGAAUUCCUGGUGUAGUGGUGAAAUACGUAGAUAUCAGGAGGAACACCGGUGGCGAAGGCGGCUAUCUGGCCCAACACUGACACUCAGACCCGAAAGCGUGGGGAGCAAACAGG